rnacentral:misc_RNA from 1 species
AUAUUUAAUAUUUUUCAUCAACAGACAACAAUCAAAACUUUUUCACAUAUGCUGAAUAUAAAUGAAUUUUAUAAUUCAAUUCCAUAUCGCCCUCCAAUACGUUGCAGUGUCUCUGAAACUUCUUUCAUUGAUGGUCGGAAUUUGGGAUCAUAAUUAAGACAUUUAACAGCAAGCAGAGCAAUUUCUGCAGCGUCUUUGGCAGAGUAUUUUCCCUCCAAUCUGCUGUCCAUUAUGCUUCUCAACCUUCUUUUGUUGUUGAGAAGUGGUUUAACCCACCCCACCAGGUCUUGUUGCCCAGAUGGACGUUUUUUAUCGAUUGCCCGCAAGCCGGUUAGCAUCUCGAUCAAAACAACGCCAAAACUAUACACAUCGCUCUUUAUAUACAAGUUUCCAGUGGCAAUAUAUUCAGGAGCAACAUAACCAUAUGUGCCCAUAACAUGUCCUGUUACACAUGAAUUACCAGCUGUAGGUCCCCACUUUGCCAAGCCAAAAUCUGAUAUUUUUGCAUUAUAAGACCGAUCAAGCAAUAUAUUUGAGGACUUGAAAUCUCUGUAAAGUAUUGGUUUCUCCAUCAUAUGCAAGUAAGCCAGACCUUGAGCCAUUCCUAUCAUAACCUUAACCCUUGUUUCCCAUGAAAGCAGCCGAUUUGGGCUACUUCCAAACAAAUAAUAAUUCAAGCUGCCUCUUUCCAUGAGUUCAUAUACAAUGAGGAAAUUUUCAUUUUCCUUGCAGUAUCCCAUCAGCUUUACAAUGUUAGGAUGAGAAAGCCUCCCUAAGAAACCAACCUCUGUUCGCCAUUGUCGAAAUCCUUGCUUGCUGCUUGUGUCCAAUCUCUUAACAGCAAUGGUUCGUUUCCUGGUACCUCGAUAAUUUUUCUCGUUGAUCCAGCCCUUGUAGACACUGCCAAAACCUCCUCUUCCCAGCACCAUGUCACUUCUAAAAUUAAAGGUUGCAGCUUUCAGUUGUGCAAAGGUGAAAGCUCUCAACUUUGAAUCUGAUUCAGUUACUACAUCAGGAAGAUUCUCGUCUUCAAUUGCAGCGGGGAAUUCAUCGUCAUCAAUGGCAUUGUACCCCCAGAUAGCUGCAAUCGCGCCACUCACUUGAGAUAACCGUGCUGUAAGAUUGGUGGUUACCAUAGAGAACCAGCUUGUGCGUGAGACAUUGCUACCCACAAAAGAUGCAUCCCCAUCAAUGAGAUGGCCGAUGCUGCUGGGGAGCGGGUCUGGGUCUGGGAUUGAGUCUGCAACUGGAGGUGUAGCCGGAGGGAUAGAAGCUGGGGCUAGAUUGGACUUACCAGCAAUGCAACUCCAGCAAAUCCCCAUCAAAAAAAUUUUUUCUGUACAUGCAUGAUUAUCGAUUUCUGUUUCUGAUGAGAAUAGGUCGAGAGAAAACUGAAAAGGCUAAAGAUUUUC